ensembl:lncRNA
CGAAAAACGAGCAAAGGAGCGGAUCGAUGGGUCUACACGUGCAAUCAGUCGUAGCAAUCACCCCCUCUACCGAUGAUCUAUAAUCUGCGAGUGUGCGUCGAUAUAAUCGAUUAAUCGAGGAUCCAGGGCGAGAAUCUGACGCUUAUAUUGUGGGAGUUUGAAGGAUUUAGCUCGGCACGGUCUGCGAGGGGUAUCAGCGCAAAGCCACCAUGCGCCGUUUCUCUUCCUCCUCCACUACAGAAUCCACGCCUGGUUUUGCGCAACGCUUCCUUUGCAGCAUCUUGUUACUUUGUAAUAUGAGGGGUUCUCACAGCAGAUCAUCUGCCUCCAUCUCACCCUAUUCACACCAUCCUCCUCUGUCACAUCAGCCCUCUCCUUCACUCCACGAAUCUCCUCUGUGAUCUUUUCCUCUUGCCUGGAUGCUCAUCAUAAUUUCUCCCUUUAUGAGGUUUGAUAGAUUUGUUAUAUAUCAAUGAAAAAAAAAAACUAAAGCAACACUGAAACCAGUAUGAAUCGCAGCACUAAAGUUGCAGCCACCAAUGCUACGUAAAAUAAGUCCUGCACCGGCCCCCAGACAAUUACAACCUGACCCGCUGUCUUUCAGAAAGAAAAUUGUAGAAGAAAAUCAGUAGCAGCAUUAUGUUAAACAGUCUCAAAGCAGUCUGUGACUGCAGUGAGUCAGAACUGCUUUUUAACUCAAUUCCAGUCAGUCAGAAUCAGAUCCAGCUGUCACGCCUCACUUCCAGUUUCAAAAACACCAACACAGCAACAGCAAAAGUGCUCAACAACAGGGUUCCUCCACAAACCAGUGGGUGACAUCCAAGUGGCUACAUCCAUCUUUCAGACUGUCAAUGGGCCAAGCAUGGGGACACCUGUCACACCUAGAAAAAUGGAAUUGAACUCCAAGUGAACCAACAUGCAUCACCGCAGACCACAUUUGAGUAUUCAGUCUGCUGAUUGGCCAGAUGUGUCUGGGACAGGAGUAACAAAAGUAAAAACAGGAAGAAGGUGUUGUCUUCUGGACUAUUGGAGAAAACUGAGAAUUUCUGUUAAUUUCACAGCUAGUUGCUAGACUGUACAGAACUUUACACAUCUAUAGUACCUUACCGUAUCCCACAUUAUCCCAAACUGACACAUAUGCACAUUCGAACUCCACAGUUGUGCAAACAUCCUUACAUUACGAUGCACCAGCUACAUGUGCCCAGAUGGCUAACUUCACAAAGAUUUCAAAAAAAUAUAAAACUUUAAUUAUACUCAGGUUUGGACAUGGAGAGAAACUGCUAGAGACACAAUGGCCAAAUAAAAACUGAUGUAGUCAUUGUGACUUGUAACAGAUUUAUGGAAAAUACCACCAAGGCUUAGCUUCAUCAUCCACAUUUGAGUUAUAAAAAAUAAUCUUCCUUAUAGUGUUGAUCAAGAGCAACCUAUCCAUAAAGGACAGGUAUUUUGUAUCAUUCUGUAAACAUAUUUGUGC